AACGAACGCUGGCGGCAGGCCUAACACAUGCAAGUCGAGCGCGCCCUUCGGGGUGAGCGGCGGACGGGUGAGUAACGCGUGGGAACGUGCCCUUUUCUACGGAAUAGCCUCGGGAAACUGAGAGUAAUACCGUAUACGCCCUUUGGGGGAAAGAUUUAUCGGAAAAGGAUCGGCCCGCGUUGGAUUAGGUAGUUGGUGGGGUAAUGGCCUACCAAGGCGACGAUCCAUAGCUGGUUUGAGAGGAUGAUCAGCCACACUGGGACUGAGACACGGCCCAGACUCCUACGGGGGGGAGGAGUGGGGAAUCCUAGGCAAUGGGGGCAACCCUGAUCUAGCCAUGCCGCGUGAGUGAUGAAGGCCUUAGGGUUGUAAAGCUCUUUCAGCUGGGAAGAUAAUGACGGUACCAGCAGAAGAAGCCCCGGCUAACUCCGUG
rnacentral:rRNA from 1 species